rnacentral:tRNA from 1 species
GCAAUGGUGGUUCGGUGGUAGAACACCUGCCUGCCACGCGGGAGACCUGGAUUCAAUUUCUAGCCAAUACA